rnacentral:rRNA from 1 species
UACAGAGGGUGCAAGCGUUGUUCGGAAUUAUUGGGCGUAAAGCGCGUGUAGGCGGCUUUGCAAGUCGGGUGUGAAAGCCCUCAGCUCAACUGAGGAAGUGCGCCCGAAACUGCGUAGCUAGAGUCCUGGAGAGGAAGGUGGAAUGCUUGGUGUAGAGGUGAAAUUCGUAGAUAUCGGGAGGAACACCGGUGGCGAAGGCGGCGACCUGGGUAGAUACUGACGCUGAGGCGCGAAAGCGUGGGGAGCAAACAGG